rnacentral:rRNA from 1 species
UGGGGAAUAUUGCACAAUGGGCGCAAGCCUGAUGCAGCCAUGCCGCGUGUGUGAAGAAGGCCUUCGGGUUGUAAAGUACUUUCAGCGGGGAGGAAGGGAGUAAAGUUAAUACCUUUGCUCAUUGACGUUACCCGCAGAAGAAGCACCGGCUAACUCCGUGCCAGCAGCCGCGGUAAUACGGAGGGUGCAAGCGUUAAUCGGAAUUACUGGGCGUAAAGCGCACGCAGGCGGUUUGUUAAGUCAGAUGUGAAAUCCCCGGGCUUAACCUGGGAACUGCAUUCGAAACUGGCAGGCUAGAGUCUUGUAGAGGGGGGUAGAAUUCCAGGUGUAGCGGUGAAAUGCGUAGAGAUCUGGAGGAAUACCGGUGGCGAAGGCGGCCCCCUGGACAAAGACUGACGCUCAGGUGCGAAAGCGUGGGGAGCAAACAGG